CUUGAUUCUAUUAUUCAGGGAACAGUGUAUUAAUGAAAUUAUUAACAGUGUAUGUUUUUUUGGGGAUGCCAAAAAGUAUCAUGCCCUGGGUGCCAGUUAUGCCCACUAUGCCACUGCUAUACAUAUAUAGAAUAAAUAUGAUUUCUGAUGAGGAUUUUCUAAACACUUGCUGCUCAAUAAUCGCCAGUUUAUCCUUAUCAUUUUGCAGUAAAUUGAGGAGUUUGUUUCCUUUCAAAAGAAAGUCUAUAGCUAGAAGAAUAUUCAUUCAAACUUGUAUAGGUAGAUGAUUUUGACAAAAUUUCACAAUUAUAAUAUGCUAUCCUAAGUUUGGAUCAUAUUGACUUCAGUGAUAAAAUAGCACUUGUUUGCUGAUUAUAAAAUAGAUAUUGGUUUUCCUUGUGU
rnacentral:lncRNA from 1 species